UAGGCAUCCAUUCUCCGGGGCCACAAAGAUCAGACAGCACGGUAGCUACCGACGACACCACAUCCUUUUCCUCCUGGAGAAGCUGAUUAUCAGCUUCUCGGUCAACUCUUGAUCUUCCAUCUAACUUCUUGUCCAUGGAAACUAAUCCGCCAGAAAAUCCGGCUUUGCCUCCUGAACCACCAGGUCCAUAUCCCUCUCGCCUGAAUUUCUUGCCACUACUUCCACCAAUGUCAUCCUCAUCCUCAUAACCCUCUUCAUAAUACUCUCUUCCUCUCCCUUUUUUCACCAUCGCCCCUGCAGCAGCGGCUCCAGAGCCAGCCAAAUGAAAAUUAUAAUGAGAAUGCGGCGGCACCACCGGCCCAGCAACAGCGGGACCCGCCGACGCCGAUCCAGG
rnacentral:misc_RNA from 1 species